AUUGAACGCUGGCGGCAUGCCUUACACAUGCAAGUCGAACGGUAACGCGGGGCAACCUGGCGACGAGUGGCGAACGGGUGAGUAAUGUAUCGGAACGUGCCCAGUUGUGGGGGACAACUGCUCGAAAGAGCAGCUAAUACCGAAUACGACCUGAGGGUGAAAGCGGGGGAUCGCAAGAACUCGCGCAAAUGGAGCGGCCGAUAUCAGAUUAGGUAGUUGGUGGGGUAAAGGCACACCGAGACAACGAUCGGUAGCUGGUCGGAGAGGACGACACACCACAGGUGGAGUGAGACACGACACAGACGCAUACGGGAGGCAGCGGAGGGGAAUGUUGGACAAGCGACGCACGUCUGAUCCAACCAAGCCGCGUGCGGGAAGAAGGCCUUGGGGUUGUAAACGGCUUUUGUCAGGGAAGAAACGCUCUGGGUUAAUACCUCGGGGUAAUGACGGUACCUGAAGAAUAAGCACCGGCUAACUACGUGCCAGCCGCCGCCGUAAUAC
rnacentral:rRNA from 1 species